AUGCAAGUCGAGCGGAYYUGAUGGAGUGCUUGCACUCCUGAWGGUUAGCGGCGGACGGGUGAGUAACACGUAGGCAACCUGCCCUCAAGACUGGGAUAACUACCGGAAACGGUAGCUAAUACCGGAUAAUUUAUUUUGCAGCAUUGUGAAAUAAUGAAAGGCGGAGCAAUCUGUCACUUGAGGAUGGGCCUGCGGCGCAUUAGCUAGUUGGUGGGGUAACGGCYCACCAAGGCGACGAUGCGUAGCCGACCUGAGAGGGUGAACGGCCACACUGGGACUGAGACACGGCCCAGACUCCUACGGGAGGCAGCAGUAGGGAAUCUUCCGCAAUGGGCGAAAGCCUGACGGAGCAACGCCGCGUGAGUGAUGAAGGUUUUCGGAUCGUAAAGCUCUGUUGCCAAGGAAGAACGUCUUCUAGAGUAACUGCUAGGAGAGUGACGKU
rnacentral:rRNA from 1 species